AUUGAACGCUGGCGGCAGGCCUAACACAUGCAAGUCGAGCGGAUGCAGGGAACUUGCUCCUGGAUUCAGCGGCGGAGUGGUGAGUAAGGCAUAGGAACCUGCCUGUUAGCGGUUGAUAACGGCCUGAAACGGGCGCUAAUACGCCAUACGUCCUGAGGGAGAAAGUGGGGAAUCUUCGGACCUCACGCUCUCAGAUGAGCCUAGGUCGCAUUAGCUAGUUGGUGGGGUAAAGGCCUACCAAGGCGACGAUCCGUAGCUGGCUUGAGAGUAUGAGCAGUCACACGGGAACUGGACACCGUCCCAGACCCUUACGGGGGGCACAAGGGGGGAAUAUUGACCAAUGGGGGAAAGCUGAACCAAGCCUAGCGGGGGGGGUGAAGAAGGCCUUCGGUUGGUAAACCACUUUAAGUUGAGAGAAAGGGAAGUAAUUUAAAACCUUGCUGUUUUGCGGUAACCAAAAGAAGAAGAACCGGUUACCUCCUU
rnacentral:rRNA from 1 species